UUUUUUUCCAAUUUGUUCAAUGCAUUUUAAAGGCUUGGAAAGGUGUAAACCACAGCUGAUGGCCACAGAAGAAUUUACUGUCUGCUAAACCCUGAUAUCUGUCCUGACACACAAUAGGCAGCAGAUCCCCCUGGCUGAAGAAACCACCUGGAUGGACAUCAAUGGUCUGCUACCUUUGGUGUUAAAGAGCUGGAGAUGCAGCAGUAAAUUCUGAGUGCCUUCUGAAGUCACCUUUGUAUUAAAUGAACGAGGCAUAAAAUAUGUAGAAUGCCUGCCAAUUAUUUAAAAGAAUACAACCGCUAUAUGCAAGCGAAGUGGACUUCACCUAAAACUGGAUGAUGCAACACCCCAGUACUCUAAGGCAAGGGCCUGGAAAACGGGAAAGACAAGCGAAACCUCAUUUGUGUUGCCCUGCUAAGCUGCUGGAGCCCGGCUCUGCGAGAAGCCCUGUGAGCUCCGGGCACUCAGCCGUGGGUGCGAGGGAAGCCUUUGGAAGCAAGGAGCGCUGCCCCGGCCGGCGCUCGGAGGUCCCCGGGCGCUGCCGCCCCGCUCCCCUCAGCGCGGCCGAGCGGGCGCCUGCGCGGGGCCGCCCCUCGGGCCCCUCCGCCCCGCCCUGCGGCCGAGGCUCCCCGAGCGGAGGGAGCGGGGCU